CUCCACCCCUGGCACAGGUAAAUCCUUCAGAUAUUAGAAGAUACCAACAGAGACGCCUGUCUCCCUGACACUUCCAGCACACACCCACCUACCCAUGCACCCACAGCUGGCCUUUGCUUUUGGUCAAGAAACCAGACACCAAGGCUGGAGAAAGAGAAGUGAUGUAACAGAGGUCCCCAAAAUCGAUGAGUGCCAGAGUGGAGAAUGCACCCACAUGACUACCAUGCCAGGUUGCCUGGAUCAGACCCGGUAACCAUUAUUCUAACCUCAUCUCAGACCCAGGUCUACUCUUGAGAAGGGCAGAAUUUUUGGAGAGUGACAUUUUACCUAACUGGGCU